rnacentral:rRNA from 1 species
UAGGGAAUUUUCCACAAUGGGGGCAACCCUGAUGGAGCAACGCCGCGUGCAGGAUGAAGGCCUUCGGGUCGUAAACUGCUUUUAUGUGCGAAGAAUAUGACGGUAACACAUGAAUAAGGGUCGGCUAACUACGUGCCAGCAGCCGCGGUCAUACGUAGGACCCAAGCGUUAUCCGGAAUUACUGGGCGUAAAGGGUGCGCAGGCGGCCCCGCAUGUCAGGCGUGAAAUCCCCGAGCUCAACUUGGGAAUGGCGCUUGAAACUACGGGGCUGGAGUGUGGCAGAGGGAGGUGGAAUUCCACGUGUAGCGGUGAAAUGCGUAGAGAUGUGGAGGAACACCGAUGGCGAAGGCAGCCUCCUGGGCCAACACUGACGCUCAUGCACGAAAGCGUGGGGAGCAAACAGGAUUAGAUACCCAAGUAGUCCCUGAGCGGGCUGGCAAGGCGCAU